GAGCUAUGAUGAGAUCUAGAGAUUGUCAUGCACCACUCUUACAAAUUUAAUUUUAAUUUGAGUGAUGAUAAAUUUCUCAUACCCAAUUUCUGUCUGAGCGC
rfam:Capsicum annuum cultivar Zunla-1 chromosome 6, whole genome shotgun sequence